AACGCCAAGUCGGUCUUAGCUAGAUGAUGUCAUGCGUGCCCUCCAAGCGGCAUACCCCUUCCUGGCCGACUCCACUGGACGCUGCGCUUGCUACUCGUCAGUCUCACUGUAGGAUUCACUGCGGCACAGCCUUAUCAACAAAAUGAAAAAAGAAAGGUUGCUUCUUAUGCAUCUGCCAGAAGUUCAGCAAAACAAGGAAAACUAUGGCAAAGGUGGUGGACGAAAGCGAAAGGAAAAACGCCAACGCAGUGACUGUAUUCAAAAAUAAAAAAGGACCAUGGUUCCACAUCAUGACGUAGAAGGUACCGACAACUGUGCAGACCACGUAGAGAUUAUGGCUGCUGAAUGCUCCAAGGCUGCAACAGAUGUGAAGCUCUUACUUCAAAUAAUGGCACAGACGUAACAGGCAAGGAGGGUAGACAUCGCUGGCAAGACCACCACUGAUGUUAUUUAGCUGUACCCGGCCCUCUGCAUUCCCGAAGUGGUAAUUUUAACACUUUUUCCACUAAACUUUCAAAGCAAUAGACAGCCUGAAUGGUGGAUCAGUUUUGUCUGGUUUUG